AGUUAUGUUGAAUAUUGUGCUAGAUGCGCCAUCUGCUGUAUCAAGAAGAAUGUCUAUCACCGUCUUUGCUCUGGAAUGGGACUUUGAAUUACCUCCAAAAGCCAGGCCACAGGCCGUUCUGAAAUGAUACGAACAGGAGUUCCAUUGCAGCUUCAUUUGUGAUAAAGAGUCACUUGAUUUGCCUAUUACUUACACUGCUAGGAGCGUACAAAAACUAGCCAAAAGAAGAGGCUGUAGAUGAUACUGCUCAUAACACGAUGGUUUGUUCUUGCGCUUUCUGCCCCUCUUGCAGCAACCAGUUCUUUCUAGAAGAAGUAUUCCAUAUCCUAGACCGCAUAGGAGCCAUAUUAGUGCAAUGGCAUACCCGGGUAUGCCUGUAAAUACUGUUGACUGCACAAGAGAGCGAAUGCUGCAACUUAUCACAUGAACAUGCAAGUUAUCUACAUGCUGUGAAUUUUCAGUUUCUGUUAAAGAUUUAAGGAGUGGGAGCAAUAGCUGUACCGAUACUUACACUCCAGUAAUGGUCAUUUGUUACGUUAUAUCC